rnacentral:rRNA from 1 species
UCCUACGGGAGGCAGCAGUAGGGAAUCUUCGGCAAUGGGGGCAACCCUGACCGAGCAACGCCGCGUGAGUGAAGAAGGUUUUCGGAUCGUAAAGCUCUGUUGUAAGAGAAGAACGUGUGUGAGAGUGGAAAGUUCACACAGUGACGGUAACUUGCCAGAAAGGGACGGCUAACUACGUGCCAGCAGCCGCGGUAAUACGU